rnacentral:rRNA from 1 species
UGCCCUGCUUCCAGGAAAAGCCUCUAAGCAUCAGGUAACAUCAAAUCGUACCCCAAACCGACACAGGUGGUCAGGUAGAGAAUACCAAGGCGCUUGAGAGAACUCGGGUGAAGGAACUAGGCAAAAUGGUGCCGUAACUUCGGGAGAAGGCACGCUGACACGUAGGUGAAGUGAUUUACUCAUGGAGCUGAAGUCAGUCGAAGAUACCAGCUGGCUGCAACUGUUUAUUAAAAACACAGCACUGUGCAAACACGAAAGUGGACGUAUACGGUGUGACGCCUGCCCGGUGCCGGAAGGUUAAUUGAUGGGGUCAGCGCAAGCGAAGCUCCUGAUCGAAGCCCCGGUAAACGGCGGCCGUAACUAUAACGGUCCUAAGGUAGCGAAAUUCCUUGUCGGGUAAGUUCCGACCUGCACGAAUGGCGUAAUGAUGGCCAGGCUGUCUCCACCCGAGACUCAGUGAAAUUGAACUCGCUGUGAAGAUGCAGUGUACCCGCGGCAAGACGGAAAGACCCCGUGAACCUUUACUAUAGCUUGACACUGAACAUUGAGCCUUGAUGUGUAGGAUAGGUGGGAGGCUUUGAAGUGUGGACGCCAGUCUGCAUGGAGCCGACCUUGAAAUACCACCCUUUAAUGUUUGAUGUUCUAACGUGGACCCGUGAUCCGGGUUGCGGACAGUGUCUGGUGGGUAGUUUGACUGGGGCGGUCUCCUCCUAAAGAGUAACGGAGGAGCACGAAGGUUGGCUAAUCCUGGUCGGACAUCAGGAGGUUAGUGCAAUGGCAUAAGCCAGCUUGACUGCGAGCGUGACGGCGCGAGCAGGUGCGAAAGCAGGUCAUAGUGAUCCGGUGGUUCUGAAUGGAAGGGCCAUCGCUCAACGGAUAAAAGGUACUCCGGGGAUAACAGGCUGAUACCGCCCAAGAGUUCAUAUCGACGGCGGUGUUUGGCACCUCGAUGUCGGCUCAUCACAUCCUGGGGCUGAAGUAGGUCCCAAGGGUAUGGCUGUUCGCCAUUUAAAGUGGUACGCGAGCUGGGUUUAGAACGUCGUGAGACAGUUCGGUCCCUAUCUGCCGUGGGCGCUGGAGAACUGAGGGGGGCUGCUCCUAGUACGAGAGGACCGGAGUGGACGCAUCACUGGUGUUCGGGUUGUCAUGCCAAUGGCACUGCCCGGUAGCUAAAUGCGGAAGAGAUAAGUGCUGAAAGCAUCUAAGCACGAAACUUGCCCCGAGAUGAGUUCUCCCUGAGACUUUAGGUCUCCUGAAGGAACGUUGAAGACGACGACGUUGAUAGGCCGGGUGUGUAAGCGCAGCGAUGCGUUGAGCUAACCGGUACUAAUGAACCGUGAGGCUUAACCUUACAACGCCGAAG